UGACCUGGAGGCGUUGGGGCUGUCCUGGGCCGUCACUUGAGAGAGAACUUCUCACCCCAGCCAGGGUGAGGGAGUGAGAGCAAAAGAAAGUUUUGAUAGCAGCGUAUAGUUUAUGUUCAGCUGUAUGCUGGGCAGGUUACCUAACAAUUCAGUGACUCAGUUUCCUUAUCCAUAAAGUGAGGGUAAUGAUAGUAUCUACUUCGCAGUGUGGUCGUGAAGCGUAAAUGAAACUCAAGAUUAAAUACGUAGAACAGUGCCUGGCACAUAGAGCGUGUUCCGCCCAACUUGGCAUUUCUUGGCUGUAUCUCUGAAGGAAAGUCAUCUCAAUCUCUGUGAGCCUCCAUUUCCUCAGCUGUAAAAUGGGAGUAUCUUCCUCACACUGCUGUGAGGAAGUGGAUUUUCUGACGCAGAUGGGGGGGGAGAACUGUCUCCAUUUAAGUCUUCUUUGAGAACAAUACCGGGGGGGUGGCUCCUUACAUUCCGGCUUCUUUUGAGAAUCUCUGAAGGGGGGGGAGUCAUUGUCAGCUGGCCCGGAACCAUAUCCUGCUCCACAAGCUUCAUCCUUGGCAAGGAGUUGCACCUGCCCAGAGAGAAAACCUUUUGAAACUGGCACAAAGGCACUGGAGAGACUGGCAAGGCCGGGGGGGUGACGAUCUGGCUUAUCCGUCUGCACACUGACCAUGCUAAGGGGGGGCUGCAGUGUUGGAAAACUUCUCUAGCUGUGGUGUCCUCUAGGGGGGGACUAGCUGCCUGUGGCUUCUGAGCACUUAAACUGUGGCUGCAGAGACUAUGUUAAAUUGUAUUUAAUCAUAAUUAAUUUAAUUUUAGGGGGGGGACCGGGCAGGGCAGGUGCACAUUUCCUACCUGGCCACGGACAGUAAGCUCCAUAAGAGGCUGAUUGUGCCUGGUUUGCUUAUAGGCUGGGGGGGAGCACCUGCACCAGUCUAGAAUAUGAUUGGCACUCUAUUAGGGGGGGGUUCCCAGGUAAAUGAAUUAGUGGAUUCUCUGUUUCCUCCGGGGGGGUACAACCUCCUUAAGGGCAGAGAUGGUGUCUUAAAAAAAAGGGGGGGAAACAUUCUGGACAAAAACACAUAAGAUUUACCACCUUCAGGGGGGGUAAGAGUCCAGGUCAGUAGUAUUAACUACACUCACAUUGUGAUACAACAAAAGAUUGUGUCUUUUUACAGUCUUAGGGCCCAGCACAGGGGGGGGCACAUAAUCUUAGUAAACACUGGAAGAUCACAUGCUUUUGGGGGGGCCAGAACAGAGGUCAGUGACAUCCAUUACCGCCCUUUCACGGGGGGGCUGGGGCUUUAAAAACGACCUUGAAUGAAAGCUCUUGAGUGGGGGGGAAUGGGCUACAAAAAAGGUUUACAAGAUAAUCUAUUAAGAGGGGGGGAUACAGGCUGGGCAUGGUGGCUCACACCUGUAAUCCCAGCACUUUGGGAGGCUGAGGUGCAUGGAUCACUUGAGGUCAGGAGUUCGAGGGGGGGCUGGCCAAUGUGGUGAAACCCUGUCUCUACCAAAAGUUAUGGGGGGGUGGUGGUGCAUGCCUGUAGUCCCAGCUACUUGGGAGGCUGGGGGGGGAGCAUCACUUGAACCCGGGAGGCAGAAGUUGCAGGGAGCCGGGGGGGCGCCACUGCACCCAGCCUGGGCAACAGAGCAAGACUCUAUGGGGGGGAAAGAAAAAAGAAAAAAAAUCUAAAGUAAAUCUCAAUACAGGGGGGGUAUGGAUUGACAAUCACACAUAAAUAUGAUUGACAAGGACGGGGGGGUUUGGAGGUGCUGCCUGUCCAUCUGUUGCUGAUUAUGUGGGGGGGGGUUGCCUAGAACCCUGAGAUAGACAUGUUUCUAACUCUGCCGAACCGGGUCUCUUCCAGCCUCCAGUCACUUUCUUCCUUCAGUUCAGGGGGGGGUCAAUACCCAGUAAGAAUGAAGAAGUUGCAGGUCUGAGCUUGAGGAGGCCUGGACUAAAGGGAGGUUAGCACUGCCAGGGCAUUCUGGGGGGGGUGAAGAACUGGAAUAUUGGCCACAGGCAUCUACGUAUUUGGGGGGGGUCCAUUUUUUAGCUCACUCCUAGCACAGGAGUCAAAACUUGGGGGGGGGCCCCCAGGUACAUUUCCAGUCUCUUACUCAUAAGAUUGUGACAUACCACCAGGGGUGCCCAAAGGAGUUUGUGAAUCAAGAUAGUGGGGGGGGAAUCCAUUUUCUGAUCCUCAGUUUUUCUAUGCUCUUUUUCCUAAAAGCAAUCUUCCUAAAAAGGCAUCUAAGACAAGGCAUCCUCUGGGGGGGUUGCUGGGGAAGACAGACUUACAAGAGAAAGCUGCCCCUCGGGGGGGUGGGACCCCCCACUCUGGGGCACUGCCCUAGGGGUAGAAAUCUCCAAGUCAUCAAACAAAGUGACUCCUGGGGGUCAAGUGACAGAGGGGGGGGGUCUUUCUGCAAGUCAAGUGGCUUCCAGCUCUGCUUUCAGCAAAAUUGAAAGAGGCACUAAUCAAAUUGUCGGCGGAUCAUAAAAAAGGGGGGGAUAAUAAUGUUAUUAGGCAUAUAACUUGGAAGAAGUUCAAAGAAUUGAAUGACAUUCUCAUAACUCAUUGGCUUCCAUUUAUUUAUUGGGGGGGACGGUGUUUCUCCAUGUUUAAACCUACAAAAAACUAAACAGGGGGGGAAAAUUCAUGUUGAACCUUGUGUAGGUCUAGCAAUAAGUCAUCCACAUAUACAUACACUAAUUGAGAAGGAAACCUGUCUCAGCCCCGGGGGGGUUUAUUAAGAGAUGCAUUUCCA